rnacentral:piRNA from 1 species
GUUUUAGGAGGUUCUACAUGAGGC